rnacentral:sRNA from 1 species
UCGGGGUCCUCGUGUCCUUUGCCUAUAAGGUCCAAGGCUCAGACAGCGACGAGGAGGUGGUGGUGGCAACAACUCGGAUCGAGACAAUGCUGGGAGAUGUGGCUGUAGCUGUGCACCCCAAAGAUACCAGAUACCAGCACCUGAAGGGGAAGAAUGUGAUCCACCCGUUCCUGUCUCGGAGCCUUCCCAUUGUCUUCGAUGAAUUUGUGGACAUGGACUUUGGCACAGGUGCUGUGAAGAUCACCCCCGCACAUGACCAAAACGACUAUGAAGUUGGGCAGCGGCACGGGCUGGAGGCCAUCAGCAUCAUGGACUCCCGGGGGGCCCUCAUCAACGUGCCUCCGCCUUUCCUGGUGAGGCUGCCUGGGGCAAGAGUGCCUGGGUCAGGGAGAUGGAGGGAUGGCUGGGCAUCGCCAUGAUGAGGCUCAUUCCUACCCAGGGCCUGCCCAGGUUUGAGGCCAGGAAAGCGGUGCUGGUGGCGCUGAAGGAGCGGGGACUGUUCCGUGGCAUUGAGGACAACCCCAUGGUGGUGCCACUUUGCAAGUGAGGGUGGGGGCCUGGGAUGGGAGGAAGAUGGAGGACUCCUCAGGGUUUUACCGCCUGGCCUCACCUAUGUGUACCCCCAGCCGGUCGAAGGACGUGGUAGAGCCUCUGCUGC